GGAAGGAUCAUUAUCAGUUCAUGGCUGUACAUGCUACAUGUGCAAUCCAGGAUAAACCACUCUGCGUAUUUUUUCCUGUUGCUUCCAUGGGGCGUGGUGCUUGCGCCACUCGGCCGGCACGGUCCUCGAGGCCACCACCGUCCGGGAGUCCUCAUGGAAGGUCACCGAGCAAACCUCUUGCCUCCUCAUGAUUUCUGUCUGAAUGUGAUAUAUCUAAUUGUUAAAACUUUCAACAACGGAUCUCUUGGUUCUUGCAUCGAUGAAGAACGCAGCGAAAUGCGAUAAGUAGUGUGAAUUGCAGAUCUCAGUGAAUCAUCGAAUCUUUGAACGCACAUUGCGCCCCUCGGCAUUCCGGGAGGCAUGCCUGUUCGAGCGUCAUCAAAACCGACUCAAGGCGUUUCAUGCUUUGGUCCUGGAGGUUGAUUGGCUCAGUUUUUGCCACUCACCUUUGAAAUGAAUUGGCGGAUUGCAAUCAUCAACGAGUGUAAUAACAUAUAUCGUUCACUUGUCGACCUUUGCACGUCUUGCCAUUGACCCCCACGCAUUUCCAGGUUGACCUCGGAUCAGG
rnacentral:rRNA from 1 species